GGAAUCUUGCGCAAUGGGCGAAAGCCUGACGCAGCGACGCCGCGUGAGGGAUGAAGGCCUUCGGGUUGUAAACCUCUGUCAGGGGGGCAGAACCCGGAGUCGGUGAAUAACCGGCUCCGCUGACGGUACCCCCAGAGGAACCCCCGGCUACCUCCGUGCCCGCAGCCGCGGUAAGCCGGAGGGUGCGAACGUUGUUCGGAAUCACUGGGCGUAAAGGGCGCGUAGGCGGACUUGUAAGUCAGGAGUGAAAACUCGGGGCUCAACCCCGAGCCUGCUUCUGAAACUGCGAGUCUUGAGGACCGGAGAGGAAAGUGGAAUUCCUAGUGUAGCGGUGGAAUGCGUAGAUAUUAGGAAGAACACCAGUGGCGAAGGCGACUUUCUGGACGGUUCCUGACGCUGAGGCGCGAAAGCUAGGGGAGCAAAC
rnacentral:rRNA from 1 species